AAGAAAAACCCUACAAAAUGUUUGUGUGGACUGAUGGAUGUGAUCUUAGCUUUGGACUUAGAAUUAGGCAACAUUCCCUAUGCAAAAGGACUUGGCCAAUGACAACACUUCUGAAACAAAGUUCUUGUGAUUUGAGCUUUCAUCUUAUACAAGUAUUGGGAUCCACAAGUACUCAUCUGCUACAUGAUCUUGAUGCAAAUGUUACUUUGAACCUGUGUCUAAUGCCUUAUUCUGAGCCAUUUAAGGAGUAUGUCAUCUGAUACAUG
rnacentral:lncRNA from 1 species